GAUGAACGCUGGCGGCGUGCCUAAUACAUGCAAGUCGAGCGGUAACACUUCGGGUGACGAGCGGCGGACGGCUGAGUAACGCGUAGGAACGUACCCCAAAGUGAGGGAUAAGCCCGAGAAAUCGGGUCUAAUACCGCAUGUGAUCUUCGGAUUAAAGCUUUAUGCGCUUUGGGAACGGCCUGCGUAUGAUUAGGUUGUUGGUGAGGUAAUGGCUCACCAAGCCUACGAUCAUUAGCUGGUCUGAGAGGAUGAUCAGCCAGACUGGGACUGAGACACGGCCCAGACUCCUACGGGAGGCAGCAGUAGGGAAUUUUCCACAAUGGGCGAAAGCCUGAUGGAGCAACGCCGCGUGCAGGAUGAAGGCCUUCGGGUUGUAAACUGCUUUUGUUUGUGACGAUUAUGACGGUAACAAGCGAAUAAGGGUCUGCUAACUACGUGCCAGCAGCCGCGGUAACA
rnacentral:rRNA from 1 species